rnacentral:tRNA from 1 species
CGCGCCGUCGCCGGCUGUACGGCAUCGGGUUGUGGUCCCGAAGGUCGCAGGUUCGAGCCCCGUCGGUCACCCA